UGAGUAACACGUAUCCAACCUGCCGUCUACUCUUGGACAGCCUUCUGAAAGGAGGAUUAAUACAAGAUGGCAUCAUGAGUCCGCAUGUUCACAUGAUUAAAGGUAUUCCGGUAGACGAUGGGGAUGCGUUCCAUUAGAUAGUAGGCGGGGUAACGGCCCACCCAGUCUUCGAUGGAUAGGGGUUCUGAGAGGAAGGUCCCCCACAUUGGAACUGAGACACGGUCCAA
rnacentral:rRNA from 1 species